CUUUAUGAAUUAAAUAUUAGGUUUAACCUGCCCACUGAAUUUUAAAUGGCUGCAGUAUUUUGACUGUACUAAGGUAGCAUAAUAAUUAGGCUCUUAAUUGGAGUCUGGAAUGAAUGGUUGGACGAGAAACUAACUGUCUCUAAAUUAAUAAAAGAAUUUUAUUUUUAAGUUAAAAAGCUUAAAUUAAAUUAAAAGACGAGAAGACCCUAUAGAGUUUUAUUUAUUAUAUUAUAUUAUUUAAUAAGAAUUUUAAUAAUUAUUAAUUUAGUAAAUUUGGUUGGGGUGAUUGAAAAAUUUAAUUAACUUUUUUUUUUAUAAAACCAUUAAUUUAUGAUUUUUUGACCCACAUAAGUGGCUAUAAGAAUAAAUUACCUUAGGGAUAACAGCGUUAUUUUUCUGGAGAGUUCUAAUCAAUAGAAAAUAUUGCGACCUCGAUGUUGGAUUAAGCAAAAUUUACGGUGUAGAAGCUGUGAAAUUUAGUCUGUUCGACUAUUAAAAGCUUACAUGAUCUGAGUUUAAACCGGCGUGAGCCAGGUUGGUUUCUAUCUUUAAUAUGUUUUAAUGGUUUAGUACGAAAGGACCAACUAUGAGUAAUAUUUAUUUUGAUUUGAAUUAAAUU
rnacentral:rRNA from 1 species